AACGAACGCUGGCGGCAUGCCUAACACAUGCGAGUCGAACGAGACCUUCGGGUCUAGUGGCGCACGGGUGCGUAACGCGUGGGAACCUGCCCUUAGGUUCGGAAUAACUCCCCGAAAGGGGUGCUAAUACCGGAUAAUGUCUUCGGACCAAAGAUUUAUCGCCUUUGGAUGGGCCCGCGUUGGAUUAGCUAGUUGGUAGGGUAAAAGCCUACCAAGGCGACGAUCCAUAGCUGGUCUGAGAGGAUGCUCAGCCACACUGGGACUGAGACACGGCCCAGACUCCUACGGGAGGCAGCAGUGGGGAAUAUUGGACAAUGGGCGCAAGCCUGAUCCAGCAAUGCCGCGUGAGUGAUGAAGGCCUUAGGGUUGUAAAGCUCUUUUACCCGGGAUGAUAAUGACAGUACCGGGAGAAUAAGCUCCGGCUAACUCCGUG
rnacentral:rRNA from 1 species